UUAAGAAUGAUAUGGGGCUGCGGAUGCAGACUUGGUUGCCUAAGCGCUUUAUGAAUAUAGUGCUGCAUUGAGACUGCUUGCGCUUCACUCUGAUUCAUCUCUGUGGUAGGCAGCGGGCGAACAAGCGAGAGAGGGGGAGAGAGAAACAGAAGAGCGAGUGUCUCGGUUUCUUGUACAGUACACACAACUCGCUACUAACAGGAAGCUGUCCAUCAGCCAAACCUGCUGAAAAUGAUUCUCACCCUGAUCAGUUUCCUCGGAUUGCUCGUCUCCGGCAGUCAAGGACAUUUUCUUUAUGGAAAGUCUCAUCUCAGAGCACUUCAGAAUGAGUCAUUUCAGAAUUGAAUACAGGAAGGGUUACAAACCCC
rnacentral:lncRNA from 1 species